rnacentral:misc_RNA from 1 species
GACGACCUACAGGAGCCAAAGG